rnacentral:lncRNA from 1 species
ACGGAAAGGAGUGGUGGUGCGUUCUGUGGUAGUUUUUGAUUGAGACGACGAGGGAAAAGUGUACGGGAGGUACGGAAGACAACGGGGAAUGGCGAAGGAUUACGAUAGGCGACGACGAGUCGGAUUCGGGUGUUCCUUGUGGUUGUUUGCGGACAUAGAGAGUUACAAAACUAGGAAAGAAACAUCAAAGAGCCUAUUUAAGUAAAACCAAUGUAGUACUUUGUCAAGGUUUCAAGGAUACCGUCAACAGAUAAUCCAAAACGCUGAAAUGGAGGGCACUGCUAAGCGCCUUUUUUUAGAGGACGUUCAGGAAAUCAUCUACAGGAGCGGUGCAGAUUAAUAUUUUUACAUGAUCGACGCGCUA